rnacentral:lncRNA from 1 species
CUUCAGUCCCGCGCCCACGCUGCUCACGCGAGGGUUCAGAAUCCACAAUGGCCGCGCUUCUGUAGCCGUUAUUUCCACAGCUGAAGCGGCGCCUUUUCCUAAACAGGUGCACUUCUGCCCCUCUGAACUCUGCAGUCUUCUAGACUAGCUCUAGUUUGUCCAGUGUGUGCCUCCCCAGUGGUCCUCUCCUGUUUAGCAGAUGGUUGGGCCUCUGGUUGUCGGUGCUGAGGGGUGGCCUCUUCCUUGGACAAGUUAGAGAUGAGUCGUUUGCCCGCUGGCCCAUGGGUGCUGAGCGAAUAGCCCUUAAAUAGUUUAAUGUUUGGGGGAGAGGGGCCCUCUGACUUGUCCUAGGGCCCUGGUAGGGGAUAAGGCCCCAAAGUAGGAAACAGCCAGAGGGAAGAAGUACUUUCUUGCUGGGAGAGCAGCUUGCGCUGGACUUGAGGGAGCUGGGCUGGGACGCGAGGAGAAAAGGCUCUGAGCAUUCCGGCAGCGAGAGUCCAAAUGGCUGGAGUGGAGAGAACAGACUAGAAGACCAGUGAAGAAGAUUGUCUGAGCUGAGCCUUGAAGGAUGGGCAGGAUUAACUAGUAAGGAUGGAAGGAGGGCCAUUUCAGGCAAGAGGAGUGGCAAAACCUCUGGUGUAAAAAUCAGAAGGUACUUGCAGUGUCAAGGGACCAGUGACAUGAUCUGGCAGAAGGGAAUCCAAGGAAGGUCAUAAGGUUGGAAAGC